UACAGAGGUCUCAAGCGUUGUUCGGAUUUACUGGGCGUAAAGCGUCCGUAGGUGGUUUGUUAAGUCAGGGGUGAAAUCCCGGGGCCCAACCCCGGAACUGCCUUUGAUACUGGCAAGCUGGAGCGUGAUAGAGGAAGAUGGAAUAUCUGGUGUAGGGGUGAAAUCCGUAGAUAUCAGAUGGAACACCAAUGGCGAAGGCAGUCUUCUGGAUCAUUGCUGACACUGAGGGACGAAAGCGUGGGUAGCAAACAGA
rnacentral:rRNA from 1 species